CGCGGCUAUUCCACAUAUACUAUGGGCAGGGGUUCAAGGUCCUCAAGAACGCCUGGGACGGCAGGAGCUACCUCCUCAUUCAGAGCACGUCCAAGAUGGCGAGCAGGACGAGGUGCUGCACGGGGAGGAUCAAGUCCUUCGUCGUCCCCCUCGCUAACUACUCCCUCGACACCGCCGCCUCUCCAGUGUCCUUCUUCGAGGUGAGCGAGCAACGGGGGAGCCAAACCGAGAUCACACCCCACGGCUGCCUCGACCACGCCCCCUACCCACCCGAGGUA